UACAGAGGGUGCAAACGUUGUUCGGAAUUACUGGGCGUAAAGGGCUCGUAGGCGGCCAACUAAGUCGGACGUGAAAUCCCUCAGCUUAACUGGGGAACUGCGUCCGAUACUGGAUGGCUUGGAUUUGGGAGAGGGAUGCGGAAUUCCAGGUGUAGCGGUGAAAUGCGUAGAUAUCUGGAGGAACACCGGUGGCGAAGGCGGCAUCCUGGACCAACAUUGACGCUGAGGAGCGAAAGCCAGGGGAGCAAACGGG
rnacentral:rRNA from 1 species